ensembl:lncRNA
AUGUUUGUCUUGGUCUGGGGGUAUUUAAACGAUUGCAGCAAAAGGAUCAGGGCCUUCUGUAGCCAGAAUGAGCUCCUUAGCAUGAAGUGUGUCCACACACUUCAUACUUAUGUAUUUUUUUCUAAAAAGUCAGGUAUGCAUCUUUUUACUCUUAGAUUCACCUUUGAGAAUUUGAUGUCUUGUAUUGAUUUGAUAUCUCUGAAUUGGCUAUGUAAUUGGCAUAAUACUUACCUGACUGAUAAUAAAUUGUUACAUUUGAUUUACUCUGAGUUACUCUGAAAUUAUUUCCUCAAGUAGAUUAAGUGAAGGCUAUGUUUCGCAAAUCUGCGUCCAGGGUUAAGUGCAUACUAAAACUCAGGCUAGAUGGAGCAUGGGGCACAUCAGGUGAGGUUUUAGAUUUCUGGCUAACCGCUUGACUUUAGUUAAGUUGUACUCAGUUGCAGUAACUAUGGGGGGCUAGUCAGAGUACUGGUCAUAACCGCUGAUUAUUGUUUGAGCUUUAUUUAAGUUGUACGUAGUUAAUCUUAACUAUCGGGGCUAGACAAAGAGUACUAGCAUAACCUCUGAUUAUUGUCUCAGCUUUAAUUAAGUUGUACGUAGUUAUAUGACUGUCGGGGGGGCUAGACAGAUAGUGCUAGCAUAACCGCUGAUUAUUGUGGUGAGCUUUAACUAAGUUGUACAUGGGUAACUGAGGGGGACUAAACGAAAAUACUAUUUCAAAUAUGGUAAGUAUGGGUAACCUAUUAAAUAGUAUUAGUCAUAACCUCUGACUACUGUUUAGACUGGCGAGUUUGUGAUCGUGGGGCACACGUAGAACGGCCGUCGUGGGGCACCCUGAGCGACAUAGAUUCCUAAUGAAAGAGUAAAUAUAAAGUAAAGAGUUAACUAGAAUAAUCCAAUGUCAGAAUAAUAAUAAAAAUAAUUAGAGACAGACAAUCAACCAAUUUGCCUUUCAACCUAAAUUCGAGGUCAUACUAAAAUGGAGUCAGAUGAAAUAUUAAAAUGGAGUCAGAUUAGAAUUGGAUUUAAAUUGAAUAACUCUAUGCGCUAAAAAGACCGAACGUGCAAGAAACCUUCAGCCAGCACCGGAUACCUUCCUUGGACCGAGUGCCUGGACCUUACAGUGUGUGUGUGUGUGUGUGUGUGUGUGUGUAGCAUGCUGGGGGAAGUCUCAGUGAGCUAGCAGGACCGCCACACUCUCACAGAUUUGACAGUGUUUCCUCGGGCUAUUCCAGCAUGGCUGGUUUGAGAGACAGAAGCUUCUGUAGUGAUGAACACCAUGAAAUGGCCCUGUAAUGAAUAAUCACUUUGGUAUAUGUUUCAGUCAGGCCAAGACGCCAUUAGCAGAGUCUGUCUCGCUGGGCGAAAUCAAUUCACACACAAACACACACACACUCAUGUUCUCUGUUUACAACACUGUCACAUCUGAAUUGGACAACUGUGCAGCAAAUGCAAAACAUUUAGUCUUUUUUAUCCUUCCCAGCACUAAGUGAUCAAGUCAAUAGUUUACAGCGCUGACCUUACCAAGAUCAGAGUGAUUUCAGUGUUCAGUGAAAAAAAUCAUCCAAGAGAGCAGACAAGUUGAGAGAAAUGCUGAUUAUAAAUAUCAUUCAUUCAGUACUGAAGAGUAUUUAUAAAAGUAGUUUACUCUGUUGGACAGUGUACCUAAUAUUUAUUUAAUGCUUACAUAUUGUUGUGUCAUAUAGCAACAAGCUAACAUUAAAUGCCAUUGGAAUCAAUUGUGUCUCCUUUGCACUUCACAUGACGAGAGCUAUUUUUGUCGUACAUACAGUUGCUACCUACUGUACAUAGAAUGUUCCAAAUCCAUCACUUACAAGGUAGCAUUUUGGUUAGGAUUUUCUAUCUUAGAAGGCAUAUGCAUAGGCAGCAGACAGCAUGGCAGCUUAUUGGGCUUUUUGUGUGUGUAGUUGUCAUUUUC